ACAGGAGCCCCAUUUCCGCCCGUUGCUGGGCAGUGGCUACGCGAUGGGUCCUUCCCCUAGAGACUCUCGGCUCUACGCGUGGGUCUCGGCUCUAACGUUCCGCCGGCGCUCAACGCACAACAAUCAACCGGCUUAGGUUUGUGAAACAUCUCCCUAUUUAACUUAAUUCAGAUGCAGCCACUUACAGCUCUAGCCAAAGAGCCCUGCUCAAGACUCUCCAAUGAAUUCCAUGGACUAACCUUGACAAUGAGACUGAGGAAUAGAGCCCUGUACUGUGCAGACAUUGGAAGAGUACAGAAUUUGGAGUAAAAAAACCUAUGUUUGAGCCUCAGUUCUAAUACUCAGUUUCCUCAUCUAUAAAAUGGGGAUCCUAAUAUGUGUACCACCUAUCUCAAAGAAAGUGCUUUGAAAAUUGCAA